rnacentral:tRNA from 1 species
GCGCGGGUGGCGGAAUAGGUAGACGCGCUAGCUUGAGGUGCUAGUGCCCGAGAGGGCGUGGGGGUUCAAGUCCCCCCUCGCGCA